AUUAGCAAUGAGUCCACUCUGCAUGCAAUCGUAGAUAUUUCUUAUAACAAUGGAAGAGGGGUCAAGGUGUUGCCAAGGAAGUGCCUUCCAAUCCACAGCAGUCAAAUGAACAUUUUUGUGUUUAUAGUGUUUCUAUUUUUGAUGUUUUUGUUGUCAUUAUUGUAAAUGCUAAUGGACAUUGUUGGUUUUUGAAUGGAUGUGCUUUUAAUUUUAAUGUACCUGUAUGUACCAUAUAUUUGUGAAGAAACAUUCAUUUAAUAUCAAAUGCACCUAUUUAUUGAAAGGGUAUGUAUAUAAUAAUUUCACAAACAUCCCAAAAAAUUAUUUUGGUUAUAAAAGUCAUAUAUAUAUAUGCCUUUUCCACUAUAUGUUGAUAUUACAUUCUGAAACUGGUCUGAGAGAUCUAUCGUGCUCCUCCGUUGUCUUCAUUACAUUUUAUUUGGCACUUGCAAGUGAUUGCUGACAAUGAGAACAUAUGGAAUGACAGUGGUAAUAUGCACUGCAGUAUUAAACAAUAAAAAAAUAUUGAAGCACAGCAUAUUUUGCUAUUAUUGGAGAUUAGGGGGAUGAGAGUAAGUAUGUGUGGUCUUUUAAUGACGGCCCAACAUUUAUCCCAGACUACAGUCUUGUCCUCUGCUCAGUAUCAUUUCAAUUUGUAAAAAACACUGAAGAAAACUGGAUUUCAUUCCAAACUUGUGGCAGUGAGAAUGAUAUUUUCUUCUCUUUCCGGGCUCGAAUAUUACUCUUAUUUUUCAGCUCCUUAAUGAUGCAGCCUCCCCUGUCCCUCCUUGCUCCUCUCAGCAGGUGUUUUCUUUGCUGUAUUCAUUCUAACACAAAUUUGUUGCAAAACUUCUGGCAGUCAGUCAUGGCUGUCAGAUAUCUUGGAUUCUGGAACUCAACAGGAUGUUGAGCAAACUCCUUAAGUGAUCCAAUGUGCAAGGCAUUCGAAAUGUUUGUAGUUUUCUACAGAUAUUAAAUUGUGUAGCAAUAUAUCAAUGUAAGUGGAUAAUCACAGUUUCCUCUUUUUUCUUACUUGGGAGUGUCUUUUUGCCUUUUCAAAGGCUUGGCACAUUGCUUUGGCAAGAGUUUCUCGUACAAUUGAAAAAGCAGUUUAGGAGAUAAAUCUGUUUCAAGCAAUCCUGUUUCACAUCAACAAAUCCAAUGUGCCUGUAGACCUCGAGCCUCAGACCCCUGGUUCCGUGUUUGAGUAAAGUGGCAGAAAUAUGAUAUGCAGCGAACUUGUCUAACUUGACUUUGUGCCAGACAAGAAAAGUGUCAGCAAACAACAUGUAUGGGAAUCUUAAGAGAUCAAAAAAAAGAAAGCUGCAAUUUCCUCACAUUAUCUAAUGGUAGAUAAAGGCAUCAGAGCUGCCAUUCAAUGCAACGUUUCUUGAUCAUUGUGUAUUUCUGUAAGGAGUUUAAAUGACCUACCCUUACAGUAACAGAGGGCGAUAAAGUCCUGACAAAAUAAAUAUGAUCCAACAUUC